rnacentral:tRNA from 1 species
AGGCUUUAUAGUUGAAAAACAAUAGUGAAUUGCAGAUUCAUAGGUACAUGAAUAAGUGUUAAGGCUUA